CACUGGAUUCCGGUGUUUCUGCCCCCAAAUCCCCAUUUUUGAUGUUUCUGCCCCCAAAUCCCCAUUUUUUUGGUGUUUCAGCCCCAAAAUCCCCAUAUUUGAUGUUUCUGGCCUGAAAUCCCCAUUUUCGGUGUUUCAGCCCCAAAAUCAACACUGGAUUCUGGUGUUUCAGCCCCCAAAUCCCCAUUUUUGGUCUUUCAGCCCCAAAAUCAACACCGGAUUCUGGUGUUUCAGCCCCAAAAUCGACAUUUUUGGUCUUCCAGCCCCCAAAAUCCCCAUUUUUGAUGUUUCAGCCCCAAAACCAACACUGGAUUCUGGUGCUUCUGACCCCCAAAUCCCCAUUUUUGGUGUUUCAGCCCCAAAAUCACAAUUUUUGGUGUUUCAGCCCCAAAAUCAACACUGUAUUCUGGAGGUUCUGGCCCCAAAAUUAACAAUUCUUGGUCUUUCAGCCCCAAAAUCACCAUUUUUGAUGUUUCUGGCCUCAAAAUCCCCAUUUUUGAUGUUUCAGCCCCAAAAUCCCUAUAUUUGAUGUUUCUGGCCUCAAAUCCCCAUUUUCGGUGU
rnacentral:lncRNA from 1 species